rnacentral:rRNA from 1 species
GAUGAACGCUAGCGGCAGGCCUAAUACAUGCAAGUCGAACGAGAUUAAGAGGCUUUCUUCUUAUGGAUGUGACCCACGGGUGCGUAACGCGUAUGUAACCUACCUUAAUCAGGGAGUUAGCCCGCAGAAAUUAGGCGUAAGAACGCAUAAAAACACAGUUGAGCAUUAUCCAACAUUAGAAUAUUUCGAUGAUGAAGAUGGGCAUACGUGUCAUUAGCUAGUUGGAGAGGUAACGUCCGACCAAGGCUACGAUGACUAACGGAGCUGAGAGGAUGACCCCCCACACUGGUACCGAGAUACGGACCACUAUCCGACGGGAGGCAGGAGUAAGGUAUAUUGGUCAAGGGAGGGAACUCUGAACCCGCCAUGCCGGGUGCAGGAAGACAGCCCUCUGGGUCGUAAACUGCUUUUAUUCGGGAAUAAACCUUUCUACGUGUAGGAAGCUGAAUGUACCGAAGGAAUAAGAAUCGGCUAACUCCGUG